rnacentral:sRNA from 1 species
CUACGGAAUACCCCGCUGGGUCAGAAC